rnacentral:rRNA from 1 species
UACGGGGGGAGCAAGCGUUGUUCGGAUUUACUGGGCGUAAAGGGCGCGUAGGCGGCCUCUGCAAGUCGACUGUGAAAUCUCCGGGCUUAACCCGGAAAGGUCAGCCGAUACUGCAGGGCUAGAGUGCAGAAGGGGCAACUGGAAUUCUCGGUGUAGCGGUGAAAUGCGUAGAUAUCGAGAGGAACACCUGCGGCGAAGGCGGGUUGCUGGGCUGACACUGACGCUGAAGUGCGAAAGCUAGGGGAGCAAACGGG